UCUCCCUGAGGCUGAAGUCAUCUCUCUACUCAUUCCAUCCUUACCACCCUAUCUCUCAUUGAGAAAAUAGCACAACAUAUUAAGUACCCCAAAAUGCCAUGAUAGACAGAUGAUACAUCUAAGUCUGAAGACUUUUAAGCAUCCCAGCCAGACAUAUAAAUCAGUAUUUUACUGCUGUAAAUUACUGCAAUUUACCCAAACUCUUCCCUCAGAGUUGCUAUGAUUCAUCUCCCUCCAAACUUUUGCUUUCUUCCACAGGCUGGGCUGGAGCAACGCUUAGCCAAUACCAAGAAGAAAGCCUCCCAGAUGGAGAAAUUGUUACCCAAACAAAUAAAAGGUAACUGGAUUCCUGUAGCAGAACCACUGGAAAAGAGAUAUCGACUCUACUCACAAGAAUUAGAGGAGGGGACCUUAAAUCGUCUACUUCUGCUCCACUCCGUGAUGUUUAACUCCCUUAGGGUAAGACGGGAUUAUUUUCUUGUCUAUCUCGCUCACUCUUGU
rnacentral:lncRNA from 1 species